rnacentral:tRNA from 2 species
UCCUUGCUAGCUCAGUUGGAAGAGCUCUCCACUGAAAAUGGAGAGGUCCCUGGUUCGUUUACAGGACCAGGAG